rnacentral:rRNA from 1 species
UACGUAGGCAGCAAGCGUUGUUCGGAAUUACUGGGCGUAAAGAGUGUGUAGGCGGUGUUCUAAGUUUGUCGUGAAAUCUCCCGGCUUAACUGGGAGGGUGCGGCGAAAACUGGAAUGCUAGAGGAUGGGAGAGGUAAGCGGAAUUCCCGGUGUAGCGGUGAAAUGCGCAGAUAUCAGGAAGAACACCAAUGGCGAAGGCAGCUCUCUGGGACGGUACUGACACUGAGACGCGAAAGCGUGGGGAGCAAACAGG